UACGUAGGGGGCAAGCGUUGUCCGGAAUCAUUGGGCGUAAAGCGCGCGUAGGCGGCCCGGUAAGUCCGUUGUGAAAGUCAAAGGCUCAACCUUUGAACGCCGAUGGAUACUGCCGGGCUAGAGUCCGGAAGAGGCGAGUGGAAUUCCUGGUGUAGCGGUGGAAUGCGUAGAUAUCGGGAGGAACACCAGUGGCGAAGGCGACUUCCUGGCCUGUUCUUGACGCUGAGGCGCGAAAGCUAGGGGAGCAAACGGG
rnacentral:rRNA from 1 species